UUUUCUUCGGAACACUGGAGACAGGUGGUGCAUGGUUGUCGUCAGCUCGUGUCGUGAGAUGUUGGGUUAAGUCCCGCAACGAGCGCAACCCUUAUUCUUAGUAGCCAGCAGGUAAAGCUGGGCACUCUAGGGAGACUGCCAGGGAUAACCUGGAGGAAGGUGGGGAUGACGUCAAAUCAUCAUGCCCCUUAUGAUUUGGGCUACACACGUGCUACAAUGGCGUAAACAAAGGGAGGCGAAGGAGCGAUCUGGAGCGAACCCCAAAAAUAACGUCUCAGUUCGGAUUGCAGGCUGCAACCCGCCUGCAUGAAGCCGGAAUCGCUAGUAAUCGCAGAUCAGAAUGCUGCGGUGAAUACGUUCCCGGGUCUUGUACACACCGCCCGUCACACCAUGGGAGUCGAUAACGCCCGAAGUCAGUGACCCAACCGAAAGGAGGGAGCUGCCGAAGGCGGGAUUGAUAACUGGGGUGAAGUCGUAACAAGGUAGCCGUAUCGGAAGGUGCGG
rnacentral:rRNA from 1 species